UACGUAGGGUGCAAGCGUUGUCCGGAAUUAUUGGGCGUAAAGAGCUCGUAGGCGGUUUGUCGCGUCUGCUGUGAAAACUCGGGGCUUAACUCCGGGCCUGCAGUGGGUACGGGCAGACUAGAGUGCGGUAGGGGUGACUGGAAUUCCUGGUGUAGCGGUGGAAUGCGCAGAUAUCAGGAAGAACACCCGUGGCGAAGGCGGCUCUCUGGGACGGUACUGACGCUGAGACGCGAAAGCGUGGGGAGCGAACAGG
rnacentral:rRNA from 1 species